rnacentral:rRNA from 1 species
CGAAGGAUGCAAGCAUUAUCCGGAUUCAUUGGGUUUAAAGGGUGCGUAGGCGGACUGAUAAGUCAGUGGUGAAAUCUCUCAGCUUAACUGAGAAACUGCCAUUGAUACUGUUAGUCUAGAGUAUAGAUGACGUUGGCGGAAUAUGACAUGUAGUGGUGAAAUACUUAGAUAUGUCAUAGAACACCGAUUGCGAAGGCAGCUAACGAAACUAUAACUGACGCUGAGGCACGAAAGUGCGGGGAUCAAACAGGAUUAGAUACCCUGGUAGUCCGCACCGUAAACGAUGAUUACUCGUUGUUGGCGAUAUGACAGUCAGCGACCAAGCGAAAGCGAUAAGUAAUCCACCUGGGGAGUACGCCGGCAACGGUG